CCUACGGGAGGCAGCAGUGAGGAAUAUUGGUCAAUGGUCGGGAGACUGAACCAGCCAAGCCGCGUGAGGGAUGAAGGUACAGAGUAUCGUAAACCUCUUUUGUCAGGGAACAAAGGCGGGGACGUGUCCCCGGAUGAGUGUACCUGAAGAAAAAGCAUCGGCUAACUCCGUGCCAGCAGCCGCGGUAAUACGGAGGAUGCGAGCGUUAUCCGGAUUUAUUGGGUUUAAAGGGUGCGCAGGCGGUCUGUUAAGUCAGCGGUAAAAGCCCGGGGCUCAAACCCGGCCCGCCGUUGAAACUGGCAGUCUCGAGUUGGAGAGAAGUAUGCGGAAUGCGCGGUGUAGCGGUGAAAUGCAUAGAUAUCGCGCAGAACUCCGAUUGCGAAGGCAGCAUGCCGGCUCCACACUGACGCUGAGGCACGAAAGCGUGGGUAUCGAACAGGAUUAGAUACCCUAGUAGUC
rnacentral:rRNA from 1 species